rnacentral:lncRNA from 1 species
UUGGCGCUUCGGCCUUCGGGCAGUUAUUUUUGGGCGCGCCUUUGCCCGCGGCCUAUUUUUGGCACACGGAGGCCCCUCAUAAAGUCUCGCGGCAUUCCGAGUCCGGCGGACGAAGUUGGCCAGCCCCACCCCCCAAGGCUAUAGCCCGCCCGUUUUUGUGGCCUGUUUCCGCUGGACGAACUUGGCGCCCCGGCCUUAGGUCGGUUAUUUUUGGACGCGGCUUUGCCCGCGGCCUAUUUUUGGCACACGGAGGCUACUCGCAAAGGCUCGCGGCAUUCCGAGUCCGGCGGACGAUGUUGGCCAGCCCCAACCCCCAAGGCUAUAGCCCACCCGUUUUUGUGGCAUUUUUCCGCCGGACGAACUUGGCGCCCCGGCCUUCGGGCGGUUAUUUUUGGGCCCGGCUUUGUCCGCGGCCUAUUUUUGGCACACGGAGGCCCCUCGCAAAAUCUCGCGGCAUUCUGAGUCCGGCGGACGAAGUUGGCCAGCCCCACCCCCCAAGGCUAUAGCCCACCCGUUUUUGUGGCCUUUUUCCGCUGGACGAACUUGGCGCCCCGGCCUUCGGGCGGUUAUUUUCGGGUGCGGCUUUGCCCGCAGCAUUUUUUUGGCACACGGAGGCCCCUCGCAAAGUCUUGCGGCAUUCCGAGUCCGGCGGACGAAGUAGGCCAGCCCCACCCCCCAAGGCUAUAGCCCACCCGUUUUUGUGCCUUUUUCC